ensembl:lncRNA
CCCCAGGCUGCCCUUUCAUGAGUAAUUUCUUUUAACCCGAGGAUCACAGCUGUGAGCCAUAAUGAAAAGAUUUCUUCUGGCCUGAGACUGCAAAGAAGCCGCUGCACCAGCAGAAAAAAAAGUUGGGAAAAACCACAAUUAAAGUCCAUGCCCUACUAGGAGUGAGCAGGGAGAUGCCUGGCUGUACGUAUACCAUCAUCCUCACACCAAAAACCAAGAAAUCUUUAGGUGGGUCUUGUCCUGUGGGUCCUGUAAAGAUGGCAGGGAGAAGAGGGGCUGCCAUGGACACAAGAGGUGAUAACAGAAUGAGAAGAUUGUGUGAUCCAAAGCUUCAAGACAGGAGAAAGGCUCCCUCAUCAGAACUCUGAGGAGAACGCCUCUUUACAGCCUCUCUGUCCUGUCUCAGCGUGAGCAGACAUUAAUGGACUGCAGUGUCAGGAAUGAAGGAUGGUCCUCUCACUUGGGAGCUCAGUCCAGCACUAGGCCUUGCGGGGCGUGGAUGUGUGUGCAUGCGCAUGGGUGCUCAGGAACACAUCUUUCCCACUAGAGCGGCAUUUAAUUAUACCACAGCUUCCGGAGCAGAAGCUGGAAUCCUGGCCAAAGGUUUGUUUUUUUUUUUACAGUAAUUCUCUCAAUCUGUACAUUUACCCUCAAGCUGGAUAACCCCUAAGAUACCAAAAUCUAACAGAAUCUGUAAUGAUGAAACAGAGGUGGCAGGUGUGAGAAAGGGUGAGGUGGAGUGGCAAACACAUUUUUCUAUCCAGAGGUUCAGCCUUAUAAAGGGAUGCUGGCUGUAAAGGGGACUUAGUAUCUGGCAUUUAUUUGAAGCAUUUUGGAUUUAUUGAGUGUCUCUAGUAGAAAAGGCCCAACCAUACUGUGCAACCAAAGAGAUGGAGUGAAAUGAAGGCGUUUCCGCCAGAGAGAGUGGAAAAGAUCCAUGAAGGUGAUAGAAGAAAGUGGAAAAGCCUGGAAGGGAGCACCUUUGACAGGAUAUGGGAAGCAAACUGGAUCUUCAGAGCCAGGGAAGGAGGAAGGGCUGCGAGUAAGAUG